UGAGGAAUAUUGGUCAAUGGCCGAGAGGCUGAACCAGCCAAGUCGCGUGAGGGAAGACGGUCCUAUGGGUUGUAAACCUCUUUUGUCGGGAAGCAAAAGGCAUCACGUGUGAUGCUCCGAGAGUACCCGAGAAAAGCAAUCGGCUAACUCCGUGCCAGCAGCCGCGGUAAUACGGAGGAUGCGAGCGUUAUCCGGAUUUAUUGGGUUUAAAGGGUGCGUAGGCGGACUUUUAAGUCAGCGGUAAAAAUUGAGAGGCUCAACCUCUUCCCGCCGUUGAAACAUGGGAGUCUUGAGUGGGCGAGAAGUAUGCGGAAUGCGUGGUGUAGCGGUGAAAUGCAUAGAUAUCACGCAGAACUCCGAUUGCGAAGGCAGCAUACCGGCGCCCAACUGACGCUGAAGCACGAAAGCGUGGGUAUCGAACAGGAUUAGAUACC
rnacentral:rRNA from 1 species